rnacentral:rRNA from 1 species
UACAGAGGUCCCGAGCGUUGUUCGGAUUCACUGGGCGUAAAGGGUGCGUAGGUGGUGAGGUAAGUCGGAUGUGAAAUCUCCGGGCUUAACCCGGAAACUGCAUUGGAAACUACCUUGCUUGAGGAUUUGAGGGGGGAUUGGAAUACUUGGUGUAGCAGUGAAAUGCGUAGAUAUCAAGUGGAACACCAGUGGCGAAGGCGAAUCCCUGGAAAAUACCUGACACUGAGGCACGAAAGCUAGGGGAGCAAACAGG